rnacentral:rRNA from 1 species
CCUACGGGUGGCAGCAGUGGGGAAUUGUUCACAAUGGGCGCAAGCCUGAUGACGCAACGCCGCGUGGGGGAUGAAGGUCUUCGGAUUGUAAACCCUUGUCGAGCGGGACGAAUGGCCCCUGGGCUAAUCACCAGGGGAAUGACGGUACCGCUAAAGGAAGCCACGGCUAACUCUGUGCCAGCAGCCGCGGUAAUACAGAGGUGGCAAGCGUUGUUCGGAAUUACUGGGCGUAAAGGGCGCGUAGGCGGCCAUCUAAGUCAGACGUGAAAUCCCCCGGCUUAACCUGGGAACUGCGUCUGAUACUGGACGGCUCGAGUUUGGGAGAGGGAUGCAGAAUUCCAGGUGUAGCGGUGAAAUGCGUAGAUAUCUGGAGGAAUACCGGUGGCGAAGGCGGCAUCCUGGACUAACACUGACGCUGAGGCGCGAAAGCUAGGGGAGCAAACGGGAUUAGAUACCCUUGUAGUC